UACAGAGGUCCCGAGCGUUUGUUCGGAUUCACUGGGCGUAAAGGGUGCGUAGGUGGCGAGGUAAGUCGGAUGUGAAAGCUCGGAGCUCAACUCCGAAAUGGCAUUGGAAACUACCUUGCUCGAGGGUUGGAGGGGGGACUGGAAUACUUGGUGUAGCAGUGAAAUGCGUAGAUAUCAAGUGGAACACCAGUGGCGAAGGCGAGUCCCUGGACAACUCCUGACAUUGAGGCACGAAAGCUAGGGGAGCAAACAGG
rnacentral:rRNA from 1 species